GUUUGCACUCAUCGGGGAAGGGUGAGAACCUUCGACUAAGGUUCGAUUUGAGCGAAAGCGAGAGAACGUUGCCACAGGCAACGGCCCGAAGGGUGAGGAGCGAAGCGACGAAUAAUCCUUCCCCCACCACCA
rnacentral:sRNA from 1 species